UUUCCGUAGGUGAACCUGCGGAAGGAUCAUUAUCAUGUAAUUCAGUCCCCUUGGCUGUGUUAUAUAUAUACCCACUCUGUGUACCUUCUCCUGUUGCUUCCGCUGGGUGUGUAAUUCGCCUGGCGGAAGUGUAAAAAUAACCUCUGAGUAUUGAUGAAAUCUCUGUCUGAACCGAAUAGAAAGAAAAAUGUUAAAACUUUCAGCAACGGAUCUCUUGGUUCUC
rnacentral:misc_RNA from 1 species